UUAUCCUACGGGACGCAGCAGUGGGGAAUAUUGCACAAUGGGGGAAACCCUGAUGCAGCGACGCCGCGUGAGUGAGGAAGUAUUUCGGUAUGUAAAGCUCUAUCAGCAGGGAAGAAAAUGACGGUACCUGACUAAGAAGCCCCGGCUAACUACGUGCCAGCAGCCGCGGUAAUACGUAGGGGGCAAGCGUUAUCCGGAUUCACUGGGUGUAAAGGGAGCGUAGACGGCGACGCAAGUCUGGAGUGAAAGCCCGGGGCCCAACCCCGGGACUGCUCUGGAAACUGCG
rnacentral:rRNA from 1 species